rnacentral:misc_RNA from 1 species
CUUCAUCUCUACAGCUCAUCAUGUACUUCAUCUUUGCUUUCAGCACUGUCUUCUGCUCCAUCUGAUUUUCCUUCACCAUCAUCCUCUCCUUCAGUGUCAUCAGAAUCAUCAUCCUCAUCUUCAUCAACAUCAGAAUCAGCUGGAUCAUCCUUGGAUUCCUCUUCUUCUUUCUUCUUCUCUGCCUCCUCAAACGCAGCCCUCUCAGCAUCCUUGUUCUUUCCCCAUGUUUCUUCAGCCA